rnacentral:rRNA from 1 species
UGGGGAAUAUUGCACAAUGGGCGCAAGCCUGAUGCAGCCAUGCCGCGUGUAUGAAGAAGGCCUUCGGGUUGUAAAGUACUUUCAGCUGGGAGGAAGGGAGUAAAGUUAAUACCUUUUCUCAUAGACGUUACCCGCAGAAGAAGCACCGGCUAACUCCGUGCCAUCAGCCGCGGUAAUACGGAGGGUGCAAGCGUUAAUCGGAAUUACUGGGCGUAAAGCGCAAGCAGGCGGUUUGUUAAGUCAGAUGUGAAAUCCUCGGGCUCAACCUGGGAACUGCAUCUGAUACUGGCAAGCUUGAGUCUCGUAGAGGGGGGUAGAAUUCCAGGUGUAGCGGUGAAAUGCGUAGAGAUCUGGAGGAAUACCGGUGGCGAAGGCGGCCCCCUGGACGAAGACUGACGCUCAGGUGCGAAAGCGUGGGGAGCAAACAGG